rnacentral:rRNA from 1 species
AUUGAACGCUGGCGGCAGGCUUAACACAUGCAAGUCGAGCGGGGUGAUGGUGCUUGCACUAUCACUUAGCGGCGGACGGGUGAGUAAUGCUUAGGAAUCUGCCUAUUAGUGGGGGACAACAUCUCGAAAGGGAUGCUAAUACCGCAUACGUCCUACGGGAGAAAGCAGGGGAUCACUUGUGACCUUGCGCUAAUAGAUGAGCCUAAGUCGGAUUAGCUAGUUGGUGGGGUAAAGGCCUACCAAGGCGACGAUCUGUAGCGGGUCUGAGAGGAUGAUCCGUCACACCGGAACUGAGACACGGUCCGGACUCCUACGGGAGGCAGCAGUGGGGAAUAUUGGACAAUGGGGGCAACCCUGAUCCAGCCAUGCCGCGUGUGUGAAGAAGGCCUUCGGGUUGUAAAGCACUUUAAGUGGGGAGAAAGGUUCGGCAGCUAAUACCUGCCGGAAGUGAUGUUACCCACAGAAUAAGCACCGGCUAACUCUGUGCCAGCAGCCGCAGUAA